CCUACGGGAGGCAGCAGUGGGGGAUAUUGCACAAUGGGGGGAACCCUGAUGCAGCGACGCCGCGUGGGUGAAGAAGCGCUUCGGCGCGUAAAGCCCUGUCAGCAGGGAAGAAAAUGACGGUACCUGAAGAAGAAGCCCCGGCUAAAUACGUGCCAGCAGCCGCGGUAAUACGUAGGGGGCAAGCGUUAUCCGGAUUUACUGGGUGUAAAGGGGGCGCAGACGGCGAGGCAAGCCAGGAGUGAAAGCCCGGGGCGCAACCCCGGGACUGCUCUGGGAACUGCGCGGCUGGAGUGCCGGAGGGGCAG
rnacentral:rRNA from 1 species